rnacentral:rRNA from 1 species
UACACAGAGACACACACGUUCCCACACACUACACACAAAGGGGAAGAAUGACGCGCGCCUGCCAAAUGGUGGGGAAAGUAUGACGGUGUAGGUUGAACGGGCGUUUUACUGAGGAGCGGUGCGUGUUCGCACACUGCCCUAUAUAUAUAUAUAGGGUGGUGUGUGAGCAUAUAGGUAGUGUGUAACUCCCCUCCCCCCUCCUUCCCCCCUCCUAGUGUGGGAGGAAAAGGAGACAAAGGGGGAGAGGAAAAGAGCGUUACAUCACGAAGAUUACAAAAAAAAACAAUCAUCGAAUCGCCACCCACAAGACUGGAGCUUGCUCCCUCGAAGGCGCCAAGUAUAUUCAUGAUCACAAGACAUUCUUUUUGUACAUCUCUCGAGACAAACGCGACGUGUGCGUUUUUGCCGCACGCGUCCACUGCCGUGUCACCACACAACACUUCUCUGCCCUGGAAGCUGACUGUACGGAACUCCUCGCCGGAAUGUAGCGCCUUGCCUUUUCUUCGACUCUCUCGCUCUGUAAAGAGAGAAGGGGGGAGAAGAGAGGGCUUGGCCACUGGAAUACACCAAACCACAACCUUUUACGUCCCUCUCCAAACGAGAGAACAUGCAUGGGCUGGCAUGAGCUGCAUGCUUCACUUCGGUGGGGCUCGAGGGGCAUUUACGUCCCGAGGCGCUGAACCUUGAGGCCUGAAAUUUCAUGCUCAGGGACACACUCUUUUUUUCUAGAUGACGUUCUCUAUAAUGUGUGUCGCUUAGCUGUGUGUGUGUAUAACGCAUAUACGCACACACAGCAAACCGAAUGGCGCAACGGACCCGACAACCAGUGUUUUGUGCGCACUUUACUACUCCCCCGGAAUCUAUAGUCUCACUAGUGUGUGUGUCUAUACGCGGGGUGGUGGUGUGGUGCACACACAGCUCUCGUUGUCGGGUC